GGUUCCGUAGUGUAGUGGUUAUCACGUUCGCUUCACACGCGAAAGGUCUCCGGUUCGCUCCGGACGGAACCA
rnacentral:tRNA from 1 species